GACGAACGCUGGCGGCGCGCUUAACACAUGCAAGUCGAGCGAAGCGGCGGACGGGGGAGUAACACGUGAGUAACCUGCCUUAGACAUUGGGAUAGCCUCGGGAAACCGGGUUUGAUGCCAAAUGGUCUAAGAUGGACUCGCGUCCCAUUAGCUAGUUGGUGGGUAACGGCCCACCAAGGCGACGAUGGGUAGCCGGGCUGAGAGGGCGAACGCACACAUUGGAACGGAGAAACGGUCCAAACUCUACGGGAGGCAGCAGGGGGGAAUAUUGCACAAUGGAGGGAACGCUGAUGCAGCGAGGCUGCGUGAACGAAGAAGGCUUUCGAGUCGUAAAGUUCUUUUAUAUGGGAAGCGGUACCAUAAGAAAAAGCCCCGGCUAACUACGUGCCAGCAGCCGCGGUAAUAC
rnacentral:rRNA from 1 species